rnacentral:misc_RNA from 1 species
GUCUCCGUUGGUGAACCAGCGGAGGGAUCAUUACCGAGUUUACAACUCCCAAACCCCUAUGUGAACGUUACCAAACUGUUGCCUCGGCGGGAAAUUCAUGCCCCGGGCGCGUCGCAGCCCCGGACCAAGGCGCCCGCCGGAGGACUAACCAAAACUCUUUUGUAUGUCCCUCGCGGACUUUUAUAAUUCUGAACCAUCUCGGCGCCCCUAGCGGGCGUUUCGAAAAUGAAUCAAAACUUUCAACAACGGAUCUCUUGGUUCUG